rnacentral:rRNA from 1 species
CGGUAAUUCCAGCUCCAAUAGCGUAUACUAAAGUUGUUGCAGUUAAAAAGCUCGUAGUUGGAUUUCUGCGGGGACGGAGCGGCCGGUCGCAACUUGCGACUCGAGCUAGCGCUUUCCCCGCAUCCUGCCGCGAACCGUGCUACCAUUAGUUUGGUGGCGCUGGGGAUCGGCUCGAUUACUUUGAGAAAAAUAGAGUGUUCAAAGCAGGCCACACGCCUUGAAUAAGUUAGCAUGGAAUAAUGACUAAGGACUUCGGUUCUAUUUUGUUGGUGUUUGGGACUGAAGUAAUGAUUGAUAGGGACAGUUGGGGCGGUCUGUAUUCCAAAGCGAGAGGUGAAAUUCUUAGACCUUCGGAAGACAAACAGCUGCGAAAGCGUUCCGCAAGGAUGUUCCCUUUGAUCAAGAACGAAAGUUGGGGGAUCGAAGACGAUCAGAUACCGUCGUAGUCUCAACUAUAAACUAUACCAGCUAGGGAUCGGUCAACGUUUAAUUAUUCGACUUGAUCGGCACCUUAUGAGAAAUCAAAGCAUCUGGGUUCCGGGGGGAGUAUGGUCGCAAGGCUGAAACUUAAAGGAAUUGACGGAAGGGCACCACCAGCCGUGGAGCCUGUGGCUUAAUUUGACUCAACACGGGAAAACUUACCAGGUCCAGACAUAGUAAGGAUUGACAGAUUGAUAGCUCUUUCUUGAUUCUGUGGGUGGUGGUGCAUGGCCGUUCUUAGUUGGUGGAGUGAUUUGUCUGGUUAAUUCCGUUAACGAACGAGACCCCAGCCUGCUAAAUAGCGCGGCUGAGCUUUGCUCGGUGCGAGCUUCUUAGAGGGACUAUGAUGCGCGAUAGCACAUGGAAGUUUGGGGCAAUAACAGGUCUGUGAUGCCCUUAGAUGUUCUGGGCCGCACACGGGCUACACUGGCGCCUGCAACGAGCAUAUCAGCUGGCCCGAGAGGGUCUUGGCUAAUCUUUUGAACCGGCGCCGUGCUUGGGAUUGACCUUUGCAAUUGUUGGUCAUGCAACGAGGAAUGCCUUGUAAACGCGAGUCAUCAGCUCGCAUUGAAUACGUCCCUGCCCCUUGUACACACCGCCC